UACGGAGGGUGCGAGCGUUGUUCGGAAUUACUGGGCGUAAAGGGCGCGUAGGUGGUUCGGCAAGUCAGAUGUGAAAUCCUCUGGCUCAACUGGAGAACGGCAUCUGAAACUGCAGGACUCGAGUACAGAAGAGGGAAACGGAAUUCCUGGUGUAGAGGUGAAAUUCGUAGAUAUCAGGAGGAACACCGGUGGCGAAGGCGGUUUCCUGGUCUGAUACUGACACUGAGGCGCGAAAGCGUGGGGAG
rnacentral:rRNA from 1 species